CCAUGAUACCUAAGAAGAUGAAGAAGAAGAAGAAGUAGUAGUAGUAGUAGUACCCGGAUGGAACUGUCAUGGCCGCCGUCGCUGACCUGCAAGGCUGAAGAGAAAAAUAAGCUUGCGGAGCCCAUCCCCACAUCACCAACCCUGAGGGAGAAGACAGAACAUUCAUGAUAAGGCUUCCUUGGAUGGGGUAAAGGUGAAGACUGGAGCUGACUGGGGACAACAUCUGGUAAAGACGCCAGUUCUACAAACAAGUAGCUAUUACCCCUCGGUCCUAGAAUAAAACAAAAAUUAUCUGUUUGAAGAUGAAGAGGGAGUUGGGUCACUAGAAAAUCAGCAUGCAGACAGACCAGGGCCCGUAUUCACAAAGCAUCUCAGAGUAGAAGUACUGAUUUUAGGAUAAUUU